CUACGGAAGUAUCUUUCCAUUUCAUUCAGAGUUUAUCUGGAAUGCGUAUUGUAAUUUUUGUCACAUUCCUUGGAGAAACCCUCCUCGGAAUAUGGAAUUCUGUUUGCUAAUAUCGUAAGAUUUUUGCAUCAGAGUGUUGUAUGCAUGGAUGCCUAGGAUGGGUGGGGUCUCUUGUUUUCUUGGUAUGAGUUGAUGUAUGUCUCCUGGCGCGACGGCAUCCGUGAUUUUCACAUCGGCUCUGUCCGUGUUUCCGUACGAGAUGGACUUUUCUGCUCUUACGGCUGGAUCCUAAAGGUCUAUAGUGGGAGUUCCCAUUGCGGCUCUGUGGGUUAAGAACCUGACUUGUAUCCCUGAGGAUGCAGGUUCGAUCCCUGGCCUCCCUCCGUGGGUUAAGGAUCCAGCAUUGAUGCAAGGUUGCAGAUGUGGCUUGGAUCCAGUGUUGCUGUAGCUGUGGUGCAGGCUGGCAGCUGCAUCUCUGAUUCCGCCCCUAGCCUAGGAACUCCCAUAUGCCGUAGGUGCGGCCCUAACAUUUUUUUUUUUUUAAAGCUGCAGCAAUGCCGGAUCCUUAAGCCACUUAAGCCCAGGCUGGGGAUCGAACCAGCAUCCCAAUGCUCCAGAAAUGCUGCCCGUUCCUUUGCACCACAGCAGGAACCCCUAGUGCUCCCUGUCUUGAGUCCACACCACCUGCUGGUUGUCCCUUGCGAGCAUCAGUGCUCUACUCCAGCCCCGCGAACUGGGUGAAAAUCCCCACAUUCUAGGCGAGAGCAUCCGUGUCCUCCGAGUUAAGUUGCUGUGCAAAGCCACGUCGCUGCUGAGUGUCUUCACCUGGUCUACCCGCUUCUCUCCCUUCCUGGCAGGUGGCAGGUAGCUUCUCCCCCGCCUACCCUGUCUUUGUGACUUUCUUCAGGUCCUGCUGGGAUCGGCUCUGCUUUGCCUUAGUUGACUCCAUACCUGACCGGCCUCCUAAUUAGCUCUCCCCAAACCAGAAGUGCAUCCAGCAGGGAAGGUGGAAGAUGCUGGGUGCCGUGCAGGAUGCGCGGGGCAGGGGCCCACCUGCGGCAACGUGGUGAAACUCACAAUGUGAUUCUUUGGAGGUUGUUCAGUAUCCGGUGCUUCCUUUUUAGACCUGAGCCAGCUCCUGGGAGCCAGAGCUCCACCGUGCUCCCGAUCUCAGCCCAGUCGUGUCUACACAGCAGUUUUCAUGCCUUCCAGAGAUUGCAGCCACUUAGACAUUUUCAGGAGCUUAAAGGGCAGCGUUAAAUGGUGCUUGUUUGGAGGUGGCUUUAUGUCCGAAGCUAGUAUCAUUCCCAAUGGACAGCUUAUGUGUAUGCUCCUCUUCUGGGCUCUUUUGCAUCUCAGUCAAAGACUCCCAGGGCCCAGGCACCUCCUUCCUGAUCACCCAUUUGAGACUCCAGGGAGGACCGAGCCCCAGGGCCUCCACCUCCUAAACCUGCCCCAGAGCUGUCCACUCCUCUGCCUUCAUCCAGGCCACCGUCACCUUGUUCUGUAUUCCCCAACCAACUCCCUUCCCUCCUCCUGCUCCCCUCUCAUCACGCUCCACACAGCAGCUCCAGUUAUCAUUUAAAAACACAUGAUCACAUGACUUUUCUUGCUAGAAGCCCUUCCGUGGUUUUCCAGGGCUCUCAGUAGAAAAUGCCUAAACUUUGGGAGUUCCUGUUGUGGUUCAGCAGGUUAAGAACCUGACUAGUCUCCAUGAGAAUGCGGGUGCGAUCCCUGGCCUCGCUCGGUGGGUUAAGGAUCCAGUGUUGCCAUGAGCUGUGGUGCGUAGCUCGCAGACUUGACUUGGGUCUGGCAUGGCUCUGGCUGUGGCAUGGGCCAGCUGGAGCUCCCAUUCGAUGCCUAGGCUGGGGACCUCCAUGUGCCACAGGUGCGGCCCUAAAGAGCAAAAAAAGCAAAAAGGAAGACAAUGCGUACACUUGACUCUGGCUCCCAGGUCCCUAACCAGGGGCCCCAGGGGUCCCCUUAGGGCCCACUGGCCCAAUCACCUCCCACUGCACUGGAGCCAUCCAGGUCCUGCAUCCAGGUCCUCCUCCCCCAGCCGGGAGGCCCCCACCCCGCCCCGCUACCUUUGCAGGGUGGGCCAGGAGUCACGCCAUCUCAGUUUGUGCGUCUCCUCCUCCAGAGCCCUUCUCCAGACCAGCAGCCAGCCUGGUUCCUCUAGGUCAGCCUGUUUUAAUGCUCUGCAUUCCACACACGGCUGUUUAACACUUGCCUUGUUUGUCUUCGUGUGUCUCUUAUGGGGUAUAAGCCCCAGAAAGCAGGGGCAGUCUUUCUGAGCUCAGCUCCUAGAGCAGUGCCUGGCUCGGAGUGGGUCCUGAACAAAUAUUUUCUCAGUACAUGUCCGUCCUCUCUGAGUUGUGGGCCUUCUCUCUAGCACCUGUGCCAUCUCCUGGGGAACCAAAAAAAAAAAACAAAAAACAAAAAAAACAUGCAGGUCCUGGGGCACCACCUCUAGGGAUGCUGAUUGGGUAUGUUGGGGCAGGGCCUCGGCAUCUUCAUUUUUCAGUAUUCAUUCAUUCAUUCAUCAACAUUCUUUUUAUGGCCGUACCUGCAGCAUGUGGAAGUUCCUAGGCCAGAGGUUGAGUCAGAGCUGCAGCUGUGGCAUAUGCCACAGCCACAGCAACACUGGAUCCUUAACCCACUGAGCGAGGCCAGGGAUCAAACCCUCAGCCUCAUGGAUGCGAGUCGGGUUCGUUUCCUCCGAGCCACAAUGGGAACUUCCAGAACAUGCAUUUUAAGGUCUUUUUUUUUUUCUUUUUGUCUUUUUAGCGCUUCACCUGUGGCAUAUAGAGUUUCCCAGGCUAGGGGUCACAUCAGAACUGCAGCCUCCGGCCUACGCCACAGCCACAGCAAUGCCAGAUCCAAGCCAUGUCUGUGACCUACACCAUAGCUCACGGCAACACCAGAUCCUUAACCCACUGAGCGAGGCCAAGGAUCAAACCCAAGUCCUCAUGGAUACUAGUCGGGUUUGUUACUGCUGAGCCACGAUGGGCACUCCAGAAUUUGUAUUUUAAACCAAGGCAGGUGAGCUUCAGACUUUGAGGACUUUGCUAUAAUUCAGUAACUCUUACACAGCCAAUAUCCUAUUGGAUCCUAGCAUACUUCUGGGAAGGGAUUCUAAAUUUAUUUUACAAAGUUUAGAACAAUUUUUUUUUCCGGAACAGGUAACACAUUCCCAUGCAUCACAGAUAAAAAACAGCAUCAAAGGCUGUAUGUGGAGAAGUCUCCCCUUUUGCUCCCCCAGCCAACCCCCUCCCCAACCCUACUUAGGAAGCUACUUGUAUGAAUUGCUUGGAUAAAUUUCUGGGGCUUCUUGAUGCGAGCACACGCAAAUUCCAGCAUCUAUUUUUAUUUCUUCACUUUUCAAAUACAAAGUAGUCAGCCACAUGUGUCGAAUCUGGCUUCUUUCUUCACCCAGCAAUAUAUCCUGGGAGAUUUCUGCCAUCAGUAAAUACAUAGAGAGCUUUCUCACUUCGAAGCGACCUUGUACUCCACGUGGGGCAGGGGCCGUCUUUUAUUAACCAGCCCCAGAGAUAGAUCCUUAGCUUAUUUGCUUUUAUGGGGAAGCGGGCUGUUGCUGGUAGUGCCACAGGGUGGACUCUUGCUUCUGCAUCUCUCCUUUGCCCAUAUCAAUGAGCCGGUGUAUCUGCAGGUUGAAUCUUGGAAGCAAAUUCCUGGGCCCUUGGGUUCUAUGCCUUUUGUAAUUUUGAUGAAUGUCGUCGCAUGUCUCUGAUCGCUUUGCAUUUCUACCAGCAAUGAAAUGAAAGAGUCUCCAUUCUCCUGUUCUCUUUCUGGUGUGCUGCGAAAUUUGGGGAUAUUUAUGAACUUGCUAGGUAAGAGAUACGACCUCAAUAUAGUGUCGGCUUUUUUUUUUACGGCUUUAUUUAGACAUAAAUGAUGUGCCACAAGUGACGAGUUUUUACAGUGUACAAUUGGAAUAAUGGGUUUGACACAGGUGCGUUAGUGAAACCAUCACCAUUGUCAAGAUAGCAAACACCUGCUACUCCCAGAAGUUUCCGCAUAGCAUCUCCUUCAACGCUAAUCUUCUGUCACUGUAAGAUUGUGUGCGUGUUUCCAAACCUUUACAGACAUGGAAUGGUAGAAUAUGUACUCUUUUUUGCCCAUUUUUGGUUUGUUUUCACAUUCUGUAUCAUUGAGAGUCAUCCAUAUUGUGGUGUGUAUAUUAAUAGUCGCUUUUUCUUUUACUGCUGUGUAUUCCCUUUUAUGGGUCAGCCGCAAUUUGUUUACCCGUUCACCCAUCAGAGGACAGUUAGAUGGCUUCCAGUUGCAGACUAUUAAAAAUAAAGCUAUUGGAGGAGUUCCCAUCGUGGCGCAGUGGUUAGCGAAUCCGACUAGGAACCAUGAGGUUGCGGGUUCGAUCCCUGGCCUCGGUCAGUGGGUUGAGGAUCCGGCGUUGUCGUGAGCUGUGGGGUAGGUCGGUGGCUACAGCUCCGAUUUGACCCCUAGCCUGGGAACCUCCAUAUGCCACAGGAGCGGCUCAAGAAAAGGCAAAAAGAAAAAAAAAAAAAAAGGCUAUUGGAGUUCCUGUUGUGGUGCAGCAGAAGUAAAUCCAACGUGUAUCCAUGAGGAUUCGGGUUCCAUCCCUGGCCUCGCUCAGUGGGUUAAGGAUCCAGUGGUGUAGCUUGCAGUCGUGGCUCAGAUCCUGCAUUGCUGCAGCUGGGGUGUAGGCCAGCAGCUGCACUUCAGAUUCGACCCCUAGCCUGGGAAUUUCCAUAUGCUGCA
rnacentral:lncRNA from 1 species